CUUUUAAAACUCUUUCCUAAUCAGGGCAGGCUAACUAAACAUUUGCUAUAUUAAGACCGUGCAUGGGUUCCCAGACCUAGUUCCUUCCCUCUGUCUAGUUUUAUAAAUGCUGGUGAUAAAC